rnacentral:rRNA from 1 species
UUUAAAUGUAAAUUAUUAUACUAAAGUAGUAAUAGUUAAGUUCUUUAAAUUUAAAGAUUUUGGCGGUAUUUUAGUCUAUUCAGAGGAACCUGUUCUAUAAUUGAUAAUCCACGAUUAAAUUUACUUAAUUUAAUAAUUUGUACAUCGUCGUUUAUAAAUAAUUUUAAAAGAAUUUAAAUUUUUAAGAUUUUUUAUUAAAAAAUAUAUCAGAUCAAGGUGCAGUUUAUAUUUAAGAAGAAAUGGGUUACAAUAAAUUUAUUAAUAUGGAUUAAUAUGUAAAAUUGUAUUAUGAAGGAGGAUUUGAUAGUAAUAAAAUUAAAUUAAAUUUUAUGAUUUUAGCUCUCACAUAUGU